UACGUAGGGGGCAAGCGUUGUCCGGAUUCAUUGGGCGUAAAGGGUGCGUAGGUGGCGCCGUAAGUCGGGUGUGAAAUUUCGGAGCUUAACUCCGAAACUGCAUUCGAUACUGCGGUGCUUGAGGACUGGAGAGGAGACUGGAAUUCAUGGUGUAGCAGUGAAAAUGCGUAGAGAUCAUGAGGAAGACCAGUGGCGAAGGCGGGGUCUCUGGACAGUUCCUGACACUGAGGCACGAAGGCCAGGGGAGCAAACGGG
rnacentral:rRNA from 1 species